GAUGAACGCUGGCGGCGUGCCUAAUACAUGCAAGUCGAGCGAACGGACGAGAAGCUUGCUUCUCUGAUGUUAGCGGCGGACGGGUGAGUAACACGUGGAUAACCUACCUAUAAGACUGGGAUAACUUCGGGAAACCGGAGCUAAUACCGGAUAAUAUUUUGAACCGCAUGGUUCAAAAGUGAAAGACGGUCUUGCUGUCACUUAUAGAUGGAUCCGCGCUGCAUUAGCUAGUUGGUAAGGUAACGGCUUACCAAGGCAACGAUGCAUAGCCGACCUGUGAGGGUGAUCGGCCACACUGGAACUGAGACACGGUCCAGACUCCUACGGGAGGCAGCAGUAGGGAAUCUUCCGCAAUGGGCGAAAGCCUGACGGAGCAACGCCGCGUGAGUGAUGAAGGUCUUCGGAUCGUAAAACUCUGUUAUUAGGGAAGAACAUAUGUGUAAGUAACUGUGCACAUCUUGACGUUACCUAAUCAGAAAGCCACGGCUAACUACGUG
rnacentral:rRNA from 1 species